CCUGGCGGCCGUAGCGCGGUGUCCCCCCACCCCCUCUCAGAAGUGAAACGCCGUAGCGCCGAUGGUAGUGUGGGGUCUCCCCAUGUGAGAGUAGGGAACCGCCAGGU
rfam:Morganella morganii subsp. morganii KT, complete genome.